rnacentral:rRNA from 1 species
GUGAGGAAUAUUGGUCAAUGGGCGAGAGCCUGAACCAGCCAAGUCGCGUGAAGGAUGAAGGUUUUAUGAAUUGUAAACUUCUUUUGCAGGGGAAUAAAGUACGGUACGUGUACCGUUUUGUAUGUACUCUGCGAAUAAGGAUCGGCUAACUCCGUGCCAGCAGCCGCGGUAAUACGGAGGAUCCAAGCGUUAUCCGGAUUUAUUGGGUUUAAAGGGUGCGCAAGCGGGUUGAUAAGUCAGCGGUGAAAGUUUGCAGCUUAACUGUAAAAAUGCCGUUGAAACUGUCGGACUUGAGUGUAAAUGAGGUAGGCGGAAUGCGUGGUGUAGCGGUGAAAUGCAUAGAUAUCACGCAGAACUCCGAUUGCGAAGGCAGCUUACUAAGCUACAACUGACACUGAAGCACGAAAGCGUGGGGAUCAAACAGGAUUAGAAACCCUGGUAGUCC